GGGGUUGUGGCUCGGUGGUAGAGCAAUCACCUAGCAUGUGUGAGGUCCUGGGUUCGAUCAAUCCUCAGCACCACA
rnacentral:tRNA from 1 species